UUAAACAGAGGGCAGGGUUUCCCUCCCACACAGGCACACACACAAACAUACGGGUCGGAGCUGCUCGGGUUUAUUAUUCUGUGGGGUUACUAAGGGAGUGGCUCAUAGCAACCGGACCGGCUCAUGUAGAGGCUCUGUGCCCAUGUACCUACCCUGUGCGCCCCAUUGCCCCAUACCCCGACACCCCUUAUGCGCUUCCACCCCGGUGCCCCAUAGCGGGCCCUUAUUGCCCCUCACUGCCCCGCCGUACCGCCCAACAGGCCCGCUGUUCCCGGGACAGUCCCGAUCGCUGUUUGAAAGUCCCGCAGUGCCGUUAUCUUCUCGCUCCGCGCCUCCUUCCGCACCGCGACUGCGUCACUCCUCUCAUCUCCCGAGAGCGGGGCGUCACACGCACAGCAACGUCACGGCGUAGCACGUACCAACGGCACCUCGGCUUCUCCCGUGCUACUGACGUCAGCUACCGUACUGCCAGUUGGUGAUCCCUGCAGUAAGGCCGAGAGCAUUGCCCACCCUUCCAAAGUACUGUAUGCAUUACUGAAGUACCGAUCUGUGUAGCUGGAAUCUCUGGACUGCGGAGGGAAGAACCUGCAGUUUAAAGUUACACAGGCAGCAAAAGGAUUCCCUAAAGCUGAUGUUUUAGAAAACUGGAUCCCUGCACUCCCACUGUCUAGAUCAGGUACCUUGAUGGCAGGCGCAGAGAGAUUCUGCAGCAUUUGAUCCUAUUACAUUGUUUUAGGUUAAAAGGCCAAUCAUCUGGGAAACUUUUAUUCAGGACAGUAGCAACCAACAAUGAAAAGGGGUGUGUUUGUGGGUGUGGUCACAAAGUGGGCACGCCCACUGUUUUGUCCCUCUUUCUAAAAUGUUGGGAGGUAUGUUACAGCCCCCCUGGCAUUGGCCAUAACCCACAGAUUGCCAGGCCAGUUCUGGGCCCAAUAUAGAAAAGCAGUUGGACCACAAGUGUAGAAAGUAAAUAUGAGAUUUCCCAGUUAUAUU